GCUGUAGCUCAGCGGGAGAGUGUUUGCUUAAAAUAAAGAAGGACCCAGGUUUAAUCUCCAGGCAGAACUG